CCUACGGGUGGCAGCAGUGGGGAAUAUUGCUCAAUGGGGGAAACCCUGAAGCAGCGACGCCGCGUGGAGGAUGAAGGUUUUCGGAGUGUAAACUUCUUUUGUUAGGGAAGAUACUGACGGUAUCUGACGAAUAAGCCCCGGCUAACUCCGUGCCAGCCGCCGCGGUAAUACGUAGGGGGCAAGCGUUAUUCGGAAUGACUGGGCGUAAAGAGCGCGUAGGCGGGGUAGCAAGUCUGAUGUGAAAUCCCAUGGCUUAACCAUAGAACUGCUUUUGAAACUGUUAUGCUAGAGUACGGGAGAGGUAGGCGGAAUUCGUGGUGUAGCGGUGAAAUGCGUAGAGAUGAAGAGGAAUACUCAUGGCGAAGGCGACCUGCUGGAACGUAACUGACGCUGAUGCGCGAAAGCGUGGGGAGCAAACAGGAUUAGAUACCCCAGUAGUC
rnacentral:rRNA from 1 species